rnacentral:rRNA from 1 species
GACGAACGCUGGCGGCGUGCUUAACACAUGCAAGUCGAACGGAAAGGCCCUGCUUUUGUGGGGUGCUCGAGUGGCGAACGAGUGAGUAACACGUGAGUAACCUGCCCUUGACUUUGGGAUAACUUCAGGAAACUGGGGCUAAUACCGGAUAGGAGCUCCUGCUGCAUGGUGGGGGUUGGAAAGUUUCGGCGGUUGGGGAUGGACUCGCGGCUUAUCAGCUUGUUGGUGGGGUAGUGGCUUACCAAGGCUUUGACGGGUAGCCGGCCUGAGAGGGUGACCGGCCACAUUGGGACUGAGAUACGGCCCAGACUCCUACGGGAGGCAGCAGGGGGGAAUAUUGCACAAUGGGCGGAAGCCUGAUGCAGCAACGCCGCGUGCGGGAUGACGGCCUUCGGGUUGUAAACCGCUUUCGCCUGUGACGAAGCGUGAGUGACGGUAAUGGGUAAAGAAGCACCGGCUAACUACGUG